rnacentral:rRNA from 1 species
AAUAUCGGACAAUGGCGGCAACCCUGAUACAGCCAUGCCGCGUGUGUGAAGAAGGUCAUCGGAUUGUAAAGCACUUUAAGUCGGGAGGUAGGUGCGUACGUUAAUCCCUUCCUGUCAUGACGUCACAGACAGAAUAAGCACCGGCUAACUUCGUGCCAGCAGCCGCUGUAAUACGAAGUGUGCAAGCGUUAAUCGGAAUUACUGGGCGUAAAGCGCGCGUUGGUGGUUUGUAAGUUGGAAGUGAAAGCACCGGGUUCAACCUGGGAACUGCUUUCAAAACUGGCAAGCUAGAGUAUGGCAGAGGGUGGUGGAAUUUCCUGUGUAGCGGUAAAAUGCGUAGAUAUAGGAAGGAACAUCAGUGGCGAAGGCGACCACCUGGGAUAAUACUGACACUGAAGUGCGAAAGCGUGGAGAGCAAAC